UAGGGAAUCUUCGGCAAUGGACGAAAGUCUGACCGAGCAACGCCGCGUGAGUGAAGAAGGAUUUCGGAUCGUAAAACUCUGUUGUUAGAGAAGAACAAGGACGUUAGUAACUGAACGUCCCCUGACGGUAUCUAACCAGAAAGCCACGGCUAACUACGUGCCAGCAGCCGCGGUAAUACGUAGGUGGCAAGCGUUGUCCGGAUUUAUUGGGCGUAAAGCGAGCGCAGGCGGUUUCUUAAGUCUGAUGUGAAAGCCCCCGGCUCAACCGGGGAGGGUCAUUGGAAACCGGGAGACUUGAGUGCAGAAGAGGAGAGUGGAAUUCCAUGUGUAGCGGUGAAAUGCGUAGAUAUAUGGAGGAACACCAGUGGCGAAGGCGGCUCUCUGGUCUGUAACUGACGCUGAGGCUCGAAAGCGUGGGGAGCAAACAGG
rnacentral:rRNA from 1 species